AGCAGCCGCGGUAAUUCCAGCUCCAAUAGCGUAUAUUAAAGUUGUUGCAGUUAAAAAGCUCGUAGUUGAACUUCGAGACCGGUUUAUUGGUCGUGCUUUUGUACGUACUGGUAUUAUUGGUUUCUCCUUUCUGACGAAUCUUAAUGCCAUUAAUUUGGUGUUUUGGGGAAUCAGGACUGUUACUUUGAAAAAAUUAGAGUGUUUAAAGCAAGGCUCACGCUUGAAUACAUUAGCAUGGAAUAACGGAAUAGGACGUUUGAUUCUAUUUUGUUGGUUUCUAGGAUCGACGUAAUGAUUAAUAGGGAUAGUUGGGGGCAUUAGUAUUCAAUUGUCAGAGGUGAAA
rnacentral:rRNA from 1 species